UACGAAGGGGGCUAGCGUUGUUCGGAUUUACUGGGCGUAAAGCGCACGUAGGCGGAUUGUUAAGUCAGGGGUGAAAUCCUGGAGCUCAACUCCAGAACUGCCUCUGAUACUGGCAAUCUCGAGUCCGGAAGAGGUGAGUGGAACUCCUAGUGUAGAGGUGGAAUUCGUAGAUAUUAGGAAGAACACCAGUGGCGAAGGCGGCUCUCUGGCCCGUAACUGGCGCUGAGGCACGAAAGCGUGGGGGGCAAACAGG
rnacentral:rRNA from 1 species